CUCUAAGACUCCUACGGGAGGCAGCAGUGGGGAAUAUUGCACAAUGGGCGCAAGCCUGAUGCAGCCAUGCCGCGUGUAUGAAGAAGGCCUUCGGGUUGUAAAGUACUUUCAGCAGUGAGGAAGGUGGUAGUGUUAAUAGCACUAUCAUUUGACGUUAGCUGCAGAAGAAGCACCGGCUAACUCCGUGCCAGCAGCCGCGGUAAUACGGAGGGUGCGAGCGUUAAUCAGAAUUACUGGGCGUAAAGCGCAUGCAGGUGGUUUGUUAAGUCAGAUGUGAAAGCCCGGGGCUCAACCUCGGAAUAGCAUUUGAAACUGGCAGACUAGAGUACUGUAGAGGGGGUAGAAUUUCAGGUGUAGCGGUGAAAUGCGUAGAGAUCUGAAGGAAUACCGGUGGCGAAGGCGGCCCCCUGGACAGAUACUGACACUCAGAUGCGAAAGCGUGGGGAGCAAACAGGAUUAGAUACCCUGGUAG
rnacentral:rRNA from 1 species